rnacentral:ncRNA from 1 species
UUUGAUGGGGGGGGCGGGGCAACCCCCAAAAAAAAAAAAAACACGAGGCGUUUUCUAGAGUAGGUAAUUGGGGUCCGGGCGCGGCCGCCCUCCUCCUGAUAUGGAAGUCUUAAGCCUAACAAGCGAAUAAUGAAUAGGAACCGCCGAAAGAGGGUGCCUCUAUCGAACCUCUUUUUGAUUGAGUGUGAUUUCCAAGCAAAAGAGGGGGUCAGGAAAAGUUACCACACGGGAAUAACUGGGUUUGUUGCCCAGCCAAAGCUUCUCCAUAAGGGACGUUUCUUUUUUGGAUCCCUUUGGAUGUUCGGCUCUUUUCUUAUCCAUUGCGGAAGACAGAAAUCCGCCCAAGGCGUUUGAAAUGGGUUCACCACACCCAUAUAGGGAACCGUAAACUUGGGUUUUAGACCCGUCCGUGAGGACAGGGUAAGGUUUUAACCCUAACUGAAUGAACAAAGUCGGUUGCGAUAGUAAUCCUGCUCAGUACGAGAGGAACCGCGGGAUCAGACAUUUGGUUCAUGCGCUCGGCUGAAAGGCCGGUGGCGCGAAGCUAGCAUCUGCAAGAUUAUGACUGAACGCCUCUAAGUCAGAAUCUUUUCUAGUCAUUGGCAACGAUAAGUUGCGUCCAGACUCGAUGCGAGGAAACGAUUAGGCUUUGCUGCUAUACGGCGAAGCCAUUAUCAGACCACGGUAGCAGGCAGUAUGGGAUUGUUACGAAGAAGCAAUUUUUUGAAGUCAGUUGAAUUCAAUGAAACUGCUAACAAUUCCACUGCGAAUGACUCCAUUCGAAUCAAUCGAAGCACAGCGGUCAGGAUGUCGAACAUUUUGCAGACGACAAAAAUACCGGUUCAGGUGUCGUAAUCAGUAGAGCA